rnacentral:rRNA from 1 species
UACGUAGGGUGCGAGCGUUGUCCGGAAUUAUUGGGCGUAAAGAGCUUGUAGGCGGUUUGUCGCGUCUGCUGUGAAAAUCCGGGGCUCAACCCCGGACUUGCAGUGGGUACGGGCAGACUAGAGUGUGGUAGGGGAGACUGGAAUUCCUGGUGUAGCGGUGGAAUGCGCAGAUAUCAGGAGGAACACCGGUGGCGAAGGCGGAUCUCUGGGCCUUACCUGACGCUGAGGAGCGAAAGCAUGGGGAGCAAACAGG